rnacentral:rRNA from 1 species
GAUGAACGCUGGCGGCGUGCCUAAUACAUGCAAGUCGAGCGAACAGACGAGGAGCUUGCUCCUCUGACGUUAGCGGCGGACGGGUGAGUAACACGUGGAUAACCUACCUUUAAGACUGGGAUAACUUCGGGAAACCGGAGCUAAUACCGGAUAAUAUAUUGAACCGCAUGGUUCAAUAGUGAAAGACGGUUUUGCUGUCACUUAUAGAUGGAUCCGCGCCGCAUUAGCUAGUUGGUAAGGUAACGGCUUACCAAGGCGACGAUGCGUAGCCGACCUGAGAGGGUGGUCGGCCCACCUGGAACUGAGACCCGGUCCAGACGCCUACGGGAGGCAGCAGUAGGGAAUCUUCCGGAAUGGGCGAAAGCCUGACGGAGCAACGGCGCGUGAGGGAUGAAGGUCUUCGGAUCGUAAAACUCUGUUAUUAGGGAAGAACAAAUGUGUAAGUAACUAUGCACGUCUUGACGGUACCUAAUCAGAAAGCCACGGCUAACUACGUG